GGGUUGUGAGGUUAAGCGACUAAGCGUACACGGUGGAUGCCCUGGCAGUCAGAGGCGAUGAAGGACGUGCUAAUCUGCGAUAAGCGUCGGUAAGGUGAUAUGAACCGUUAUAACCGGCGAUUUCCGAAUGGGGAAACCCAGUGUGAUUCGUCACACUAUCAUUAACUGAAUCCAUAGGUUAAUGAGGCGAACCGGGGGAACUGAAACAUCUAAGUACCCCGAGGAAAAGAAAUCAACCGAGAUUCCCCCAGUAGCGGCGAGCGAACGGGGAGGAGCCCAGAGCCUGAAUCAGUGUGUGUGUUAGUGGAAGCGUCUGGAAAGGCGCGCGAUACAGGGUGACAGCCCCGUACACAAAAAUGCACAUACUGUGAGCUCGAUGAGUAGGGCGGGACACGUGGUAUCCUGUCUGAAUAUGGGGGGACCAUCCUCCAAGGCUAAAUACUCCUGACUGACCGAUAGUGAACCAGUACCGUGAGGGAAAGGCGAAAAGAACCCCGGCGAGGGGAGUGAAAAAGAACCUGAAACCGUGUACGUACAAGCAGUGGGAGCCUCUUUAUGGGGUGACUGCGUACCUUUUGUAUAAUGGGUCAGCGACUUAUAUUCUGUAGCAAGGUUAACCGAAUAGGGGAGCCGAAGGGAAACCGAGUCUUAACUGGGCGUUAAGUUGCAGGGUAUAGACCCGAAACCCGGUGAUCUAGCCAUGGGCAGGUUGAAGGUUGGGUAACACUAACUGGAGGACCGAACCGACUAAUGUUGAAAAAUUAGCGGAUGACUUGUGGCUGGGGGUGAAAGGCCAAUCAAACCGGGAGAUAGCUGGUUCUCCCCGAAAGCUAUUUAGGUAGCGCCUCGUGAAUUCAUCUCCGGGGGUAGAGCACUGUUUCGGCAAGGGGGUCAUCCCGACUUACCAACCCGAUGCAAACUGCGAAUACCGGAGAAUGUUAUCACGGGAGACACACGGCGGGUGCUAACGUCCGUCGUGAAGAGGGAAACAACCCAGACCGCCAGCUAAGGUCCCAAAGUCAUGGUUAAGUGGGAAACGAUGUGGGAAGGCCCAGACAGCCAGGAUGUUGGCUUAGAAGCAGCCAUCAUUUAAAGAAAGCGUAAUAGCUCACUGGUCGAGUCGGCCUGCGCGGAAGAUGUAACGGGGCUAAACCAUGCACCGAAGCUGCGGCAGCGACACUAUGUGUUGUUGGGUAGGGGAGCGUUCUGUAAGCCUGUGAAGGUGGCCUGUGAGGGUGGCUGGAGGUAUCAGAAGUGCGAAUGCUGACAUAAGUAACGAUAAAGCGGGUGAAAAGCCCGCUCGCCGGAAGACCAAGGGUUCCUGUCCAACGUUAAUCGGGGCAGGGUGAGUCGACCCCUAAGGCGAGGCCGAAAGGCGUAGUCGAUGGGAAACAGGUUAAUAUUCCUGUACUUGGUGUUACUGCGAAGGGGGGACGGAGAAGGCUAUGUUGGCCGGGCGACGGUUGUCCCGGUUUAAGCGUGUAGGCUGGUUUUCCAGGCAAAUCCGGAAAAUCAAGGCUGAGGCGUGAUGACGAGGCACUACGGUGCUGAAGCAACAAAUGCCCUGCUUCCAGGAAAAGCCUCUAAGCAUCAGGUAACAUCAAAUCGUACCCCAAACCGACACAGGUGGUCAGGUAGAGAAUACCAAGGCGCUUGAGAGAACUCGGGUGAAGGAACUAGGCAAAAUGGUGCCGUAACUUCGGGAGAAGGCACGCUGAUAUGUAGGUGAAGUCCCUCGCGGAUGGAGCUGAAAUCAGUCGAAGAUACCAGCUGGCUGCAACUGUUUAUUAAAAACACAGCACUGUGCAAACACGAAAGUGGACGUAUACGGUGUGACGCCUGCCCGGUGCCGGAAGGUUAAUUGAUGGGGUCAGCGCAAGCGAAGCUCUUGAUCGAAGCCCCGGUAAACGGCGGCCGUAACUAUAACGGUCCUAAGGUAGCGAAAUUCCUUGUCGGGUAAGUUCCGACCUGCACGAAUGGCGUAAUGAUGGCCAGGCUGUCUCCACCCGAGACUCAGUGAAAUUGAACUCGCUGUGAAGAUGCAGUGUACCCGCGGCAAGACGGAAAGACCCCGUGAACCUUUACUAUAGCUUGACACUGAACAUUGAGCCUUGAUGUGUAGGAUAGGUGGGAGGCUUUGAAGUGUGGACGCCAGUCUGCAUGGAGCCGACCUUGAAAUACCACCCUUUAAUGUUUGAUGUUCUAACGUUGGCCCCUGAUCGGGGUUGCGGACAGUGUCUGGUGGGUAGUUUGACUGGGGCGGUCUCCUCCUAAAGAGUAACGGAGGAGCACGAAGGUUGGCUAAUCCUGGUCGGACAUCAGGAGGUUAGUGCAAUGGCAUAAGCCAGCUUGACUGCGAGCGUGACGGCGCGAGCAGGUGCGAAAGCAGGUCAUAGUGAUCCGGUGGUUCUGAAUGGAAGGGCCAUCGCUCAACGGAUAAAAGGUACUCCGGGGAUAACAGGCUGAUACCGCCCAAGAGUUCAUAUCGACGGCGGUGUUUGGCACCUCGAUGUCGGCUCAUCACAUCCUGGGGCUGAAGUAGGUCCCAAGGGUAUGGCUGUUCGCCAUUUAAAGUGGUACGCGAGCUGGGUUUAGAACGUCGUGAGACAGUUCGGUCCCUAUCUGCCGUGGGCGCUGGAGAACUGAGGGGGGCUGCUCCUAGUACGAGAGGACCGGAGUGGACGCAUCACUGGUGUUCGGGUUGUCAUGCCAAUGGCACUGCCCGGUAGCUAAAUGCGGAAGAGAUAAGUGCUGAAAGCAUCUAAGCACGAAACUUGCCCCGAGAUGAGUUCUCCCUGACUCCUUGAGAGUCCUGAAGGAACGUUGAAGACGACGACGUUGAUAGGCCGGGUGUGUAAGCGCAGCGAUGCGUUGAGCUAACCGGUACUAAUGAACCGUGAGGCUUAACCUUACAACGCCGAAG
rnacentral:rRNA from 1 species